rnacentral:rRNA from 1 species
UACGUAGGGUGCGAGCGUUAAUCGGAAUUACUGGGCGUAAAGCGUGCGCAGGCGGUUCUCCAAGUCCGUUGUGAAAGCCCCGGGCUCAACCUGGGAAUGGCAGUGGAAACUAGGGGACUGGAAUCUGGCAGAGGGGGGUGGAAUGCCGCGUGUAGCAGUGAAAUGCGUAGAGAUGCGGCGGAACACCGAUGGCGAAGGCAGCCCCCUGGGCUGAGAUUGACGCUCGGGCACGAAAGCGUGGGGAGCAAACAGG